rnacentral:lncRNA from 1 species
AAAGGGAGAAAAUUAAGAGGAAAUUGAAGCCAUUGAUUUAGGUCUGGAUCGAAGAGGUGGACGGUGGAGGGGUUGUGGUGGUUGUGGUGGCGGAGGGCAAGGAGGUUGAGUGAUGGAAGAGUGGCGGAGAUGUGGUGGAGGAAGGUUGGUGUGGUGAGUAGGUGGUUGAAGAAUUUGGAAAGGGAACGGCAGAGAAUGAUUUGACGGAGGGGUAAAGUGGAGAAGAUUUUGAGAAGUGUGUCGUGUGGGAGGUUGUAGAUUAAUGGUUCUUGUUCCAUUUUUUUGUGUGUUUGUUUUGUGUUGUGGUGAAGAAGUUUUAUGUGGGAGAAUAAUGG